GUGCUUGGUUUGGCAGCACAUAUACUAACAUUGGAAUGAUACAGAAGAGAUUAGCAUGGCCCCUGUGCAAGGAUGACAUGCAAACUCGUGAAGCGUUCCAUAUUUUU